CCGCGACCUCGGCUUUUGCCUCGUUUCCAGCAACUUACUUGCUUUAUAUUUUCUAUUGUUUUGUUUUUUAAAAGUCAUCAGACUGUUUCAGUUGUGCGACUUUGAAUUCAAGAACGACCCAGUUCUUUUGAGCUUUAUUUCGUCAAGUUAACUCACUCCUACCACGACAACGAAGUCGGGAGGCCAGCCACGUGGUUAACGUUAGUUACGCGAGCAGUAACAAAGGACAAUCAAACCGACAACCCGAGCCAAGGUUAGCCGCCUAUCCCUGCAAGUCUUCUUCAACAAGCCGACCAGGCAGAGAAAGCGACCGGCAGACUGCUUGUUAAGCCGUCUCAACCGAGAACGCACGAAACUCAGCCAGCGUGAGGCCGCCGACCAGCAAGCACUGAUUAAUGACCUGAAGCCAGAUCUCUGUGUUGACCAAGGCCCGGUGCCUGGGAACACACCCAUUGUAUAUGCAUGCCACCGCUACUCACCACAGCACUGUUAUUAUCGCUCUGAUGGACAACUCUACAUCGGCGGAAUCAAAUCUCACAAGUACAACAGCAACCGCUGUCUGGUGGACCCCGGCACCGGAGUCUACCCAGGACUCUACAACUGCAAACUGGCCCAGCAGAAGAACUUCCAAAUGCUGUGGGAUUUUAAACAGAAAGGACCAAUCCAGAACAGAGAAUCAAAGAGAUGUCUGGAAGUUGCAAUGGGUGAAGACGGCUAUUACAAACUUGUUGUCCAGCAGUGCAGUGGUCAGAGGUGGAAGAUAGAAAAUCUCAUUAAAGACCAUGGAAAGGCUGCUGGGCAGGGCCCAGAAUACAAUAUUUCAUUGCACAACAACUGAAUUUCAUGCCAGAGAAAGAUAUGGAAUGAUUGCUUGUCUUUGGAGUGAGUUUAUAAUUUGCCCUGGACGACUUGGAUCCACAAGAGUCAGACGAGCAAUAGAACUAAUACUUUUCUAUUAAAUUCUUGCUUUUGCAUCAUGCUUUUUUGACAAUGGAAAAAUGUCCCAAUGAACAUUGCGAUAACAGUUAUUCACUGUGGACAACUUAUAAAGUUCCUUUUGUAGUUUUUCCAGUAAAAAAACUAUAGUUUAGAAACUCGUGUGAGGGUUUUAACUUACCUAUAGUACCCACGUUUCUUUGUCCGACCUAAUUUUAACUCAGUUCAGUGUAUCCUUUUACAAAGAAACAAAGUCCCAAUUAAACACUGUACACUGACUUUGAAUUGUUUACAUAAAGGCUGCUAAUGGUCUAUACAUGUUUGCUCUAUGACUGUUUGCUCAAUGACAAACAUUCAAGUCAAAUAGGAUCUGUUAUGUUAUGGUUUGGUUACCAUGAAUGAUCGAUGAUGAAGGCAUCCCAUUGUUUCUGCCACCUGAUGUGACACCUGACCUUCAGAUGAGCUGGCAGGGAGCUGUACAUGCAGGCAGUCUUUUAAACACUGACUUGUUUGACUAACGAUUUCCAAUAAACUAGAAAUUACACAUUA